rnacentral:rRNA from 1 species
CACCGCCCGUCACACCCAUGGGAGUUUGUUGCACCAGAAGCAGGUAGCUUAACCGCAAGGAGGGCGCUUGCCACGGUGUGGCCGAUGACUGGGGUG